rnacentral:rRNA from 1 species
UUUAAAGUCUAACCUGCCCAAUGAGGAGUUAAAUGGCCGCGGUAAUUUGACCGUGCAAAGGUAGCAUAAUCAUUAGUUUUUUAAUUGAAAGCUGGUAUGAACGGUUGGACGAGGGAGUUACUGUCUCAAUUUAAUUGUAUUAGAAUUUUAUUUUUAAGUAAGAAAGCUUAAAUGAAUUUAAAAGACGAGAAGACCCUAUAGAGUUUUAUAUAUAUUUAUGUGUGAAUAGAUUGGGAUAUAAUUAUUAGUAUAUAUAUAUAUAUUUUGUUGGGGCGACAGAAAAAUUUAAGGAACUUUUUUUAUAUUGAAACAUUAAUGUAUGAAUAAAUGAUCCGUAUAUUACGAUUAUAAGAUUAAAUUACCUUAGGGAUAACAGCGUAAUUUUUUUUGAGAGUUCAUAUCGAAAAAAGAGUUUGCGACCUCGAUGUUGGAUUAAAAUUAAUUUUUGGUGUAGGAGCUGAAAGAUUAGGUCUGUUCGACCUUUAAAAUUUUACA